GACGAACGCUGGCGGCGUGCUUAACACAUGCAAGUCGAACGGAAAGGCCCUGCUUUUGUGGGGUGCUCGAGUGGCGAACGGGUGAGUAACACGUGAGUAACCUGCCCUUGACUUUGGGAUAACUUCAGGAAACUGGGGCUAAUACCGGAUAGGAGCUCCUGCUGCAUGGUGGGGGUUGGAAAGUUUCGGCGGUUGGGGAUGGACUCGCGGCUUAUCAGCUUGUUGGUGGGGUAGUGGCUUACCAAGGCUUUGACGGGUAGCCGGCCUGAGAGGGUGACCGGCCACAUUGGGACUGAGAUACGGCCCAGACUCCUACGGGAGGCAGCAGUGGGGAAUAUUGCACAAUGGGCGGAAGCCUGAUGCAGCAACGCCGCGUGCGGGAUGACGGCCUUCGGGUUGUAAACCGCUUUCGCCUGUGACGAAGCGUGAGUGACGGUAAUGGGUAAAGAAGCACCGGCUAACUACGUGCCAGCAGCCGCGGUGAUACGUAGGGUGCGAGCGUUGUCCGGAUUUAUUGGGCGUAAAGGGCUCGUAGGUGGUUGAUCGCGUCGGAAGUGUAAUCUUGGGGCUUAACCCUGAGCGUGCUUUCGAUACGGGUUGACUUGAGGAAGGUAGGGGAGAAUGGAAUUCCUGGUGGAGCGGUGGAAUGCGCAGAUAUCAGGAGGAACACCAGUGGCGAAGGCGGUUCUCUGGGCCUUUCCUGACGCUGAGGAGCGAAAGCGUGGGGAGCGAACAGGCUUAGAUACCCUGGUAGUCCACGCUGUAAACGGUGGGUACUAGGUGUGGGGUCCAUUCCACGGGUUCCGUGCCGUAGCUAACGCUUUAAGUACCCCGCCUGGGGAGUACGGCCGCAAGGCUAAAACUCAAAGGAAUUGACGGGGCCCCGCACAAGCGGCGGAGCAUGCGGAUUAAUUCGAUGCAACGCGUAGAACCUUACCUGGGUUUGACAUGGAUCGGGAGCGCUCAGAGAUGGGUGUGCCUCUUUUGGGGUCGGUUCACAGGUGGUGCAUGGCUGUCGUCAGCUCGUGUCGUGAGAUGUUGGGUUAAGUCCCGCAACGAGCGCAACCCUUGUUCACUGUUGCCAGCACGUUAUGGUGGGGACUCAGUGGAGACCGCCGGGGUCAACUCGGAGGAAGGUGGGGAUGACGUCAAGUCAUCAUGCCCCUUAUGUCCAGGGCUUCACGCAUGCUACAAUGGCUGGUACAGAGAGUGGCGAGCCUGUGAGGGUGAGCGAAUCUCGGAAAGCCGGUCUCAGUUCGGAUUGGGGUCUGCAACUCGACCCCAUGAAGUCGGAGUCGCUAGUAAUCGCAGAUCAGCAACGCUGCGGUGAAUACGUUCCCGGGGCU
rnacentral:rRNA from 1 species